rnacentral:rRNA from 1 species
UACGAAGGGGGCUAGCGUUGUUCGGAAUUACUGGGCGUAAAGCGUAUGCAGGCGGAUCGUUAAGUCGGGGGUGAAAUCCCGAGGCUCAACCUCGGAACUGCCUUCGAUACUGGCGACCUUCGAGUCCGGGAGAGGUGAGUGGAACUCCGAGUGUAGAGGUGAAAUUCGUAGAUAUUCGGAAGAACACCAGUGGCGAAGGCAGCCUCCUGGGCCAAUACUGACGCUAAGGCACGAAAGCGUGGGGAGCAAACAGG